AACGAACGCUGGCGGCGCGCCUAACACAUGCAAGUCGAACGAGAAUCCGGGGCAACCUGGUAGUAAAGUGGCAAACGGGUGAGGAAUACAUGGGUAACCUGCCCUUGAGAAGGGAAUAACCCGCCGAAAGGUGAGCUAAUACCCUAUACGCUCCUUUUUCUACGGAAAGGGAAGGAAAGCUAAGCCGUGGGCUUGGCGCUCAAGGAGGGGCUCAUGUCCUAUCAGCUUGUUGGUGGGGUAACGGCCUACCAAGGCUACGACGGGUAGCUGGUCUGAGAGGAUGAUCAGCCACACUGGCACUGAGAUACGGGCCAGACUCCUACGGGAGGCAG
rnacentral:rRNA from 1 species